rnacentral:rRNA from 1 species
UAACAGCGUAUCGUUAGGUCUAGCGGCAGACGGGUGAGUAAUACUUGGACAAUCUACCCUUAAGUGGGGGACAACCUGCCGAAAGGCGGGCUAAUACCCCAUAAGACCACGGAGGUGCAUACUUCAGGGGUCAAAGCUCCGCAAGGGGCGCUAAAGGAGGAGUCCGAGUCCUAUCAUGGUAGUUGGCGGGGUAAUGGCCCACCAAGCCGUUGACGGGUAGCCGGCCUGAAAGGGCAACCGGCCACACUGGCACUGAGACACGGGCCAGACUCCUACGGGAGGCAGCAGUGGGGAAUUUUGGACAAUGGGGGCAACCCUGAUCCAGCGACGCCGCGUGAAGGAUGAAGGUCUUCGGA